rnacentral:rRNA from 1 species
GAUGAACGCUGGCGGCGUGCCUAAUACAUGCAAGUCGAGCGAACAGACGAGGAGCUUGCUCCUCUGACGUUAGCGGCGGACGGGUGAGUAACACGUGGAUAACCUACCUAUAAGACUGGGAUAACUUCGGGAAACCGGAGCUAAUACCGGAUAAUAUAUUGAACCGCAUGGUUCAAUAGUGAAAGACGGUUUUGCUGUCACUUAUAGAUGGAUCCGCGCCGCAUUAGCUAGUUGGUAAGGUAACGGCUUACCAAGGCAACGAUGCGUAGCCGACCUGAGAGGGGGAUCGGCCAAACUGGAACUGAGACACGGUCCAGACUCCUACGGGAGGCAGGAGUAGGGAAUCUUCCGCAAUGGGCGAAAGCCUGAAGGAGCAACGCCGCGUGAGUGAUGAAGGUCUUCGGAUCGUAAAACUCUGUUAUUAGGGAAGAACAAAUGUGUAAGUAACUAUGCACGUCUUGAAGGUACCUAAUCAGAAAGCCACGGCUAACUACGUG